AAUCAACGCUGGCGGCAUGCCUUACACAUGCAAGUCGAGCGCGAAAGGGGGCAACCCCGAGUAGAGCGGCGGACGGGUGAGUAACGCAUCGGAACGUGCCCAGUAGUGGGGGACAACCUCGAGAAAUCGAGGCUAAUACCGCAUACGACCCACGGGUGAAAGCGGGGGACCGCAAGGCCUCGCGCUAUUGGAGCGGCCGAUGUCCGAUUAGCUAGUUGGCGGGGUAAGAGCCCACCAAGGCGACGAUCGGUAGCUGGUCUGAGAGGACGACCAGCCACACUGGGACUGAGACACGGCCCAGACUCCUACGGGAGGCAGCAGUGGGGAAUUUGGACAAUGGGGCAACCCUGAUCCAUCCAUGCCGCGUGCGGGAAGAAGGCCUUCGGGUU
rnacentral:rRNA from 1 species